rnacentral:tRNA from 2 species
GCGGUUGUGGCGAAGUGGUUAACGCACCGGAUUGUGGCUCCGGCACUCGUGGGUUCAAGCCCCAUCAGCCGCCCCA